AUGUGUCAUGUGUCAUGUUUAACACUCCCCCAGGCAUUCACCUCCCCGGCAGAAUCCAUGGAGCUGCAGGACACUGAGGGACAGCGCUGCACCUGUGUUUAUUCCCAGGAACAAACACCUGCUGGAUCCCUCUGGAAAACAUCCAUAACUCCUAAUUAUUGCCAAGUCAUCAGCUCCCAAGCAGCGCUCCAGAACGGGAACCCAAGUGUGAAGAAAGGUGGAGCAGCCAGAGUGGUUUCCAAUGGGUGUUUACUGCACUGUGCUCACACACACACGAGACCAGGGCUGGGACACGGGACACUCACAGAGGUGCUGCAGGCGCUGCUCCAGCUGCACCUGGUGCUUUAUUUGAUCCAGGGAAGAGGCAGCAAGCAGGGCAAGAGUUUUGGUUUGGAUUUAGCAGCACCAGAGCCCUGUGUGAGCUUUACCGAGGGCAGAGCUGGCUGCAGGGAGGGAGGGAGGGGGAGAUGAACACAGACACAGAACCCUGCUGUCAGCUCUGCCCUCCCCUCCCGUGCCUUGAAAACCUCAGAGCUCAGCUGACACUUGGGAAGGUGAGGCUUGCAUUUCCCUAAGGAUGGCACGACUCAGACACCACCCUAAAUCUGAAUUUAGAGCCUCAGCUUCCACCUGCUGCUCCAGGGAGUGGGGAGCAAUGGGAUUCUCCAUGGUGUGACCAUCCAGGCUCCAGCAGGGCCGUAGCACAAGCAUUAAAAACCUCCUUAAUUCAAUGCUGGGAUUCAGAAACUCCUCCUGUGUUUCUGAGGUUGGUCCUAUGGCUCAGCCCAGCCCUGCUGCUCAUCCAGCUCCUCCUGCUCUGUCCCAGCAGGGUGAGGUUGGAUCACAGCCUUCCCACCCUGCUGAGACCUGCACCCACCAGCUGGACCCCCAGAGCUUUCCUGGAUCCCAAACAUCCAAAUCUGCUCCCUGAUCCCCCUGCUCAGACCAACCCAGGCACAGUCACACCAUGGAGCAGGUGCAGAACUUCCCCUCCACCCCAUAUCCCCACAGAACUCCAGGGAUGUGAGUGAGAACAGCUCCCUCCAUCCAGCUGGUGAUGCUGCACAUUUAAAAAUGGAGAUAGCACAAGCACAGCGCUGCUCUGAGGCAUGUUGGACCCACGUAACACAUCCUGGCUAUUCUGGGAAACAGAACUGCAAAAAGAAAAAUGGAUUCAUCCUUCUCCUCUCUGGAUGAUUCCAGAAUUUUUAAGAUGCUGAAGUCCAGAAUUCCAAGGCUCUUGAAAAAAAAUCAUUAUAAAUAGCAAACAAACACUUGGCUUCACAGACAACACAAACACUCUGAUCCCAUUAAACACAUAAUUGUCUCAGUUUGGUUUUUUCUUCCCAAAAGCACAGGUUUAUCCCUGGAAAUGUCUCCUGGACAGAGCAGCUUUGGCUGUUCCUCUGCAAGAUGUUUCAUUCCUUGAGACUCAGUGCGUUCCAGUUCAUUGUCAGCCAGGUGAUUUUCC
rnacentral:lncRNA from 1 species